GAGGGUAGGGAUUGGCUGAGGGUAGGCAGUCAUUGGAAAUAAGAAUUAGUUCUUAACUGACUUGCCUAGUUAAAUACAGAUGACGAAGUGUGUGUGUGUGUGUGUGUGUGUGUGUGUGUGUGUGUGUGUCAGUUACAAUAAUGUGUCAGGCGUGUGUCAGGCGUGUGUGUGUGUCAGGCGUGUGUGUGUGUCAGGUGUCUUACUGUGUGUGUCAGGUGUCUUACUGUGUGUUGGCCCUCCAGGUGUCUUACUGUGUGUUGGCCCUACAGGUGUCUUACUGUGUGUUGGCCCUCCAGGUGUCUUACUGUGUGUUGGCCCUCCAGGUGUCUUACUGUGUGUAGGUCCUCCAGGUGUCUUACUGUGUGUCAGGUGUCUUACUGUGUGUUGGCCCUCCAGGUGUCUUACUGUGUGUUGGCCUUCCAGGUGUCUUACUGUGUGUUGGCCCUCCAGGUGUCUUACUGUGUGUUGGCCUUCCAGGUGUCUUACUGUGUGUUGGCCCUCCAGGUGUCUUACUGUGUGUUGGCCCUACAGGUG